UACGUAGGGGGCAAGCGUUGUCCGGAAUCAUUGGGCGUAAAGAGCGUGUAGGCGGCCCGGUAAGUCCGCUGUAAAAGUCAAAGGCUCAACCUUUGAAUGUCAGUGGAUACUGCCGGGCUAGAGUCCGGAAGAGGCGAGUGGAACUCCUGGUGUAGCGGUGGAAUGCGCAGAUAUCAGGAAGAACACCAACGGCGAAAGCACUCUGCUGGGCCGACACUGACACUGAGAGACGAAAGCUAGGGGAGCGAAUGGG
rnacentral:rRNA from 1 species